GGGAACAACAAGGUCCUCCCUCCGCAGGAAUUAUUUAAACAACGGAGAUUUAAACAGUUUAAUGGAGCUACUGGUAAAAACGCAGAAGAAAAGAAGAUGCGAUUAAUGCGAUUCAAUUCUGGGGAAAUUGGCGGAAGAAAAAAAAACAGUAUUAAGUGAAGUUAAUUCACUUCCUUCAUGCACCAGUGGGCAGAAUUUCAGCGAGAAGAGGGGUUUAGAAAGGUGUGAUAUUUGAGUGUCUGUGGAGGCCUCUGAGAAGAGUCUGGAGACUCCUGCGCUGCUGUGGACCUGAUCAACCUGAAAUAAAACUUUCAGUGGAAGAAACGACACCACUAUUCAAUGGUCAAAGCUCUGUCCGUCCCUGGUUAUAUCAAGAGGUUUUCUUCACUGAGGCGAGAAGACAACAUGCACAAGAUUUUCAGUGACUGACCCUUCACUUUAAACAUCUGGACACCUCACUUUUGCCAAACUGACAAAAACGGUGUACCCUUCUGGGUCAGCUUAAAUGUUCAGAACACUUUUGUGAAGCUAAGCUGUUAUA